rnacentral:misc_RNA from 1 species
AACACUGUUAACCUGCGGUACCUGCGGAAGGAUCAUUACCGAGUUUACAACUCCCAAACCCCUGUGAACAUACCACUUGUUGCCUCGGCGGAUCAGCCCGCUCCCGGUAAAACGGGACGGCCCGCCAGAGGACCCCUAAACUCUGUUUCUAUAUGUAACUUCUGAGUAAAACCAUAAAUAAAUCAAAACUUUCAACAAUGGAUCU